rfam:Schistosoma mansoni, Puerto Rico, WGS project CABG01000000 data, contig: 0203
AUCCAGCUGAUGAGUCUCAAAUAGGACGAAACGCGCGUUCUGGAU